GAGACAGAGGCAUAGUGAUUUACAGUACAGUCUACAGUAGUGCACAUUUGUGAGAAAGCUGUGAGGGAAGUGUCUGGGAAUAGAGCAUGAAGUGUACAUGUGUUGGUCAUAAAACUGAGCAACAAGGGAGGGCAUGUGUUUGAGUAAAACCAUACUUCGUGUUCAUUCUCAUGGGGAUUAUAUAGCUGACAGGUUUAUCCGUGUGUGUGAAAUAAAUCAGUUUAUUCCUAUGCCUGGUUAGGGAGGUUGAUUCAUUUUUCUGGAUAACAGAGAUAGUUGGUAUGUUAAUUAAAUAUUAUUCUAUACAAGUUGUUGUCAAACUUUUUCAGGUGGCACACAACCUAAACCUAUAAAUCAUUGCUGCACCAAAGUAUUUACAGUUUUUUUUUAGUAGAAAUGAGACUGUGAAUGACAUGGCCUAAGUUGUCUCUGAAUGUCAUGUUUAUUCAUUAAACCCUUUAUACUUGUUAUUGCAGAAGAGUGUGAUGGAGAUCUGGUGUCACUGAGCGUGCAUGUGCUAUCCAAGCUCUUAAACGAAACAUCUGAAGCUUGCAGCUGGGUCUGACUGCAUGUCUUGAUUUAGCUCCAUGGAAUUUAGACUAUUUGUUGUUGCUGAAUUCGUCUGGUGGUUAGAGCAGACUCAACUUCUCCACCCUGCCUAUAUAUAAGAUAUACAAAUCCCUUAGUGCAAAAUGUUCAACCAUGGGGCUCCACAGAAGGUUUAACACACCUCACUUGAUCCCACUACCGUGUGAAUCCACUGAAAUUUCCUGCAUGUAGCAAGUUUGAUGUGGCCCAGGGGACAUACUUACUGCCUGACUGGUGUUUUCUUUGUACUAGCUUCAGUAGAUUUACUCGUUUAUUUAAACAACCAUUCAAGGCCAAAGAUGUUAUUUAUGAAUCCUUAGUGACAACAUGUGUGGACAUUUACAUGUAAACGUUUGGGAUAAAUCCUGUGAUUUCAGUGGAAUUGAUUUAAAUGUGGUCAGAUGUGACAUAUACAGAAGUUUAUUCAAUGUUUAUUUUUUGUUUAAUUUUCUCAGAACAUCAAGAUAAUUACAGUAAAUAUAUAUAAAAACAUAAAACACAUACUAUGCUAAUCACUUAUUACUGCUAUUGUGUACAAACAUUAUGAAAAUUGUGUUUUAUUGUUUAGAGGUUCAGAAAUUUGCCUUCUCAACAGUCAGUUGAAUCAGGAGAAUUGAAUAUGACAAACAAAACUAUUUAAGCACUCACUCAUACACAUACACUUUCACAUGCUAAACAACAAUCCUAACCCCCCCCCCCCCCACCUUACACACCU